rnacentral:rRNA from 1 species
UACGGAGGGUGCAAGCGUUAUCCGGAUUUACUGGGUUUAAAGGGUGCGCAGGCGGAUAUGUAAGUCAGUGGUGAAAUCUCCGGGCUUAACCCGGAAAUUGCCGUUGAUACUAUAUAUCUUGAAUGCUGUGGAGGUAAGCAGAAUAUGUCAUGUAGCGGUGAAAUGCUUAGAUAUGACAUAGAAUACCUAUUGCGAAGCAGCUUACUACGCAGAUAUUGACGCUCAUGCACGAAAGCGUGGGGAU